ACGCAACCUUCCUACGAUCGCGACUUUCCCCAUCACCUCGUUUUCCCUUCAAAAUCCAGAUCUCUAUUUUAUAUUCACUACCCAUGUUCUCGCUCUUUCCGUUUCUCUUGCUAGUAGCAGUCGCCGAAUCGCUUUGUUUCUCUAAGGCCGAGGUGAUUCCUGUUCCGGGGCCCUGAUCAUCGGAAUCCAAUACACAUAGUCGAGCGCCUCCGCCAAGCCUGGCGCCAAUUCAUAUUGUGUCAUCAUCAAGCGCCCUUCAUCCGAUUACGGACGCCGAUUCAACCGAUCCCAGGUAAAAAAUAUGCUCAAAACUCGAAGGCGACUAAUAAACCUAGACAAUCAAAGUACCGUGUCGAGCAUAUAGUGCCGGAAUUAUGAGGACUCAUCCUGAUCCCACACUUGUGGAUCUCACAAGAGGAUCACCUACACACAACGGUACAAACCAUGUUACGGGCGGCAGCCGAUGCGAAAUGGACGAUUCAUGGACGAUUGAUGAUCAAAUGGCCGUGCUGGACUUCAUUCAAUAUUUUGAUGGCUGGAUGUGUAGAAUCGUGCAGCAGUCGUGCAUGGGUGUCGUUUGUGUAGCACUACUGUGGAGCACCUGUACACCGUGGAGCACUGAGAAGAGUCUAAGGUAAACUGGUGUGCUGCUCCAUGUAAUGGACCCCAAGUGUCCACAGCCGAUGAGGCCAGCCGAUCAUGUGCCGAGGUUGUUCACGCACAGAAGGGUUCCGCUUCCACACACUCACAAUGAGUGAAGGGCACUUCUAUCCUCAUCCAUUUGUCCAGUGAAUAUUCCGAAAGCUACGUUUCAACAGUAGGAUAGGAUCGGAGAUCAUCUGUUUGGAAAAGAGAAUGAAAGAGAACGACGGCCUCUCUAACUUCUUACAGUGCUGUAAAACUGCAUGCAGUAUGGUGGGUUGUGAAUAAAUGGAUGGAUGGAAUCAUGGAAAGGCCGUAU